AUGCCAUGUGUUGAGCAUCAGAGUUUGUUACCAUGGGGCUUCGCUUCCUCUCAUCGUACUCUACAAGGCGUUAACGAGAUUGGAAAAAGAGACGAAGAAAUUAUACCCACGAAGAUGCUCGUAUCAAGUAAAGUUAUACUCGCCUCCGCUUUCGUUUUCCUCUACUUUCUCGUUCUUUUCUAUGACUGCAACGAUCUUUUACACCUUUUUCUUCUUUUUGUAUGCGACUGUUUGAGUUGUAUUGAUGCGUUUCCAAAAGUUUACAAAAGGAUGUGGUUGCGAUUCAGAUGA